GGAAGUAAAAGUCGUGACAAGGUUUCCGUAGGUGAACCUGCGGAAGGAUCAUUCAUAAUAAGUGUUUUAUGGCACUUUUUUAAAUCCAUAUCCACCUUGUGUGCAAUGUCAGGGUUGAUUUUUCUCUCGAGAGGAUCAACCCCAAACAUCAACUAUAUCUCAACUCUUUGUCUGAAAAAUAUUAUGAAUAAAACAAUUCAAAAUACAACUUUCAACAACGGAUCUCUUGGCUCUC
rnacentral:misc_RNA from 1 species